rnacentral:rRNA from 1 species
GAUGAACGCUCGCGGCGUGCCUAAUACAUGCAAGUCGAGCGAACAGACGAGGAGCUUACUCCUCUGACGUUAGCGGCGGACGGGUGAGUAACACGUGGAUAACCUACCUAUAAGACUGGGAUAACUUCGGGAAACCGGAGCUAAUACCGGAUAACAUGUUGAACCGCAUGGUUCAACAGUGAAAGACGGUCUUGCUGUCACUUAUAGAUGGAUCCGCGUCGCAUUAGCUAGUUGGUAAGGUAACGGCUUACCAAGGCAACGAUGCGUAGCCGACCUGAGAGGGUGAUCGGCCACACUGGAACUGAGACACGGUCCAGACUCCUACGGGAGGCAGCAGUAGGGAAUCUUCCGCAAUGGGCGAAAGCCUGACGGAGCAACGCCGCGUGAGUGAAGAAGGUCUUCGGAUCGUAAAACUCUGUUAUUAGGGAAGAACAAAUGUGUAAGUAACUAUGCACGUCUUGACGGUACCUAAUCAGAAAGCCACGGCUAACUACGUG